CCAGCCCCGACCCUGCAGCUGGGAGACGAGCCCCAGCACCAGGAGUCCCAGGUGUUCCCAUUCUGUGAUCAGCACAGAACACACACACCUCACCAUGGAGUUUGUGCUGGGCUGGGUGUUCCUGGUUGCUCUUUUAAAAGGUGUCCAGUGUGAUGUGCAGCUGGUGGAGUCUGGGGGAGACCUGGCGAAGCCUGGGGGGUCCCUGAGACUCACCUGUGUAGCCUCUGGAUUCACCUUCAGUAGCUAUGGAAUGAGCUGGAUCCGCCAGGCUCCCGGGAAGGGGCUGCAGUGGGUCGCAGCAAUUGGUAGGAGUGGAGGUAGCAUAUACUACGCAGACUCCGUGAAGGGCCGAUUCACCAUCUCCAGAGACAACGCCAAGAACACGCUGUAUCUCCAGAUGAACAACCUCAAGACCGAGGACACGGCCACAUAUUACUGCGCGGUGGGUUUCCUGUAGGGGCCGCAGGG